rnacentral:rRNA from 1 species
AUUGAACGCUGGCGGCAUGCCUUACACAUGCAAGUCGAACGGUAACAGGAAGAAGCUUGCUUCUUUGCUGACGAGUGGCGGACGGGUGAGUAAUGUCUGGGAAACUGCCUGAUGGAGGGGGAUAACUACUGGAAACGGUAGCUAAUACCGCAUAACGUCGCAAGACCAAAGAGGGGGACCUUCGGGCCUCUUGCCAUCAGAUGUGCCCAGAUGGGAUUAGCUAGUAGGUGGGGUAACGGCUCACCUAGGCGACGAUCCCUAGCUGGUCUGUGGGAAUGACCAGCCACACAGGAACUGAGAGACGGGCCAGACUCCUACGGGAGGCAGCAGUGGGGAAUAUUGCACAAUGGGCGCAAGCCUGAUGCAGCCAUGCCACGUGUAUGAAGAAGGCCUUCGGGUUGUAAAGUACUUUCAGCGGGGAGGAAGGAAGUAAAGUUAAUACCUUUGCUCAUUGACGUUACCCGCAGAAGAAGCACCGGCUAACUCCGUGCCAGCCGCCGCGGUAA